rnacentral:rRNA from 1 species
AGCUGCAGAAGAAGCACCGGCUAACUCCGUGCCAGCAGCCGCGGUAAUACGGAGGGUGCGAGCGUUAAUCGGAAUUACUGGGCGUAAAGCGCAUGCAGGUGGUUUGUUAAGUCAGAUGUGAAAGCCCGGGGCUCAACCUCGGAAUUUGCAUUUGAAACUGGCAAACUAGAGUACUGUAGAGGGGGUAGAAUUUCAGGUGUAGCGGUGAAAUGCGUAGAGAUCUGAAGGAAUACCGGUGGCGAAGGCGGCCCCCUGGACAGAUACUGACACUCAGAUGCGAAAGCGUGGGGAGCAAACAGGAUUAGAUACCCUGGUAG